GGGCGGGACACUCUACCUGAACACUGGUCCUAUGGCGUCUGCAGGGACGGCCGGGUCUUCUUCAUCGACGACCUGACCCGCGCAACUACUUGGCUGCAUCCUCGCACCGGGGAGCCCGUCAACUCAGGCCACAUGAUCCGCUCAGAUCUGCCCCGUGGCUGGGAGGAGGGAUUCUCGGAAGAGGGAGCCAGCUAUUUCAUUGAGUGAGUAUUUCUCACUUUCGAAGCAUUCGUUUUCCCCCGGGAGUAAAGCGUCCAGUAGUAGGAAAAAAGGACAAUCGUGCCAGAUUUUGUUCGGUUUCCAGACAUCGGACUUUCGUU